CUUGUUUUUCAAAGACUGGAUAUAGUGAAGAUCAACUUGCUGAGCACAAAUUUACCGUUUUCACACAUCUUCGAAUUUAGCGGUACUUGGGGUUUUCUGCAACCAUCCAAAAUUUCAUCGGACAUCAAAGUGAAUUAGGUGCUGUUGAAGAUGGAACUGCCAUGAAGAGGAAUUAAUUAACUUGCGGUAUGCCCUUGAAAUCGAACAGCGUCUAAGGGUGUAAACUGAAAGAAGUUAUUCAAUCAUUAUUUACUCAACAAAACAAGAUAAGAUGGCGAGUGGCUUCCCGUGUGCCCUUCGACAUCGUCAGUACGCUUUCGAAUUUGACAUGUUCAGG